AGUGAACGCUGGCGGUAGGCCUAACACAUGCAAGUCGAACGGAAGCACAGUAAGCGCUUGCUCUUACGGGUGGCGAGUGGCGGACGGGUGAGGCAUACAUCGGAAUCUACUUUUUCGUGGGGGAUAACGUAGGGAAACUUACGAUAAUACCGCAUACGAUCUACGGGUGAAAGCAGGAGAUCUUCGGACCUUGCGCGACUCAUUGAGCCGAUGUCGGAUUAGCUAGUUGGCGGGGUAAAGGCCCACCAAGGCGACGAUCCGUAGCUGGUCUGAGAGGAUGAUCAGCCACACUGGAACUGAGACACGGUCCAGACUCCUACGGGAGGCAGCAGUGGGGAAUAUUGGACAAUGGGCGAAAGCCUGAUCCAGCAAUACCGCGUGAGUGAUGAAGGCCUUCGGGUUGUAAAACCCUGUUAUUGGGAAAGAAAAACAGCAUAUUAAUACCCCGCUGUUUUGACGGUACCUAAAGAAUAAGCACCGGCUAACUACGUG
rnacentral:rRNA from 1 species